CGUCCAUUAUCACCUUGAGGAUUUCGUCUGUUGUGAUGUGUGUGCUGCAGACUACGGUGGUGGCUUCGUUGUGAAGAUGAGAUUACGAGGAAACGUGUAAGAGUAGAGCAGCCUACUGCCCACUAUUUUGUUUAAAAUCAUUGUAUUUUACUGAAUGUGCCAUUGACAUGAUACAGGAUUCAUCAUAAUUGUCCGCUGUUUGUAUUGGACUUGCAGACUUGCUAGAUCACCAACCCCAGCAUGGACCAAUCUCUCAUUCCAUUUUCAAGUGAACCUUGGAUUUGGUUCGAUUUGGAUCGAUGGUUUCAUGUGUUUCUAAAUUGGCAUUUGACAGACUUAUUGAGAAGUCAUGUUCUUUCAAGAAAAAGGGAAAGCACUAAUACAGUCAACAAGAUUCCUUGUUUGCUAACCUGUUGGCUGCUACCCUUGAAUCUCCCACUUAACUUCCUAUUUACACAGAUCCUCUUGAUUUGAGGGUAACUUCUUCGUGGACUUUAUCUAUUGGUGAAAACUGACAAGAUAUGGAGAGAAUGCUGUAAUUCAAGACCGUUAAAUUGUGUAGUUAAUUACAAGUGCAUAUCUGGGCUCCCUUCUUUUCUGUGGCCCCGUUUCCCUAACUAACCACUAACCAACGCCCGCCGGUGGUC
rnacentral:lncRNA from 1 species